rnacentral:rRNA from 1 species
UACGGAGGGGGCUAGCGUUGUUCGGAAUUACUGGGCGUACAGCGCGCGUAGGCGGCUUUGCAAGUCAGAGGUGAAAGCCCGGGGCUCAACCCCGGAAUUGCCUUUAAGACUGCAUCGCUAGAAUUGUGGAGAGGUAAGUGGAAUUCCGAGUGUAGAGGUGAAAUUCGUAGAUAUUCGGAAGAACACCAGUGGCGAAGGCGACUUACUGGACACAUAUUGACGCUGAGGUGCGAAAGCGUGGGGAGCAAACAGG